rnacentral:lncRNA from 1 species
CAGCCAGUGCCCUACACUAUACAAGAUGCCACUGUAGGGACAGGGAUGACCUCUAGCAAGGUGACCCUCAGUGGGCCAGAGGGGGCUUCUGAAGAGAAUUUCUCUAGCUUCUUGGUGUUUCCUGCCUGCUACUUUCAAACAAGGGUCCCAUUUUUAAUGUUUUCCCAGUAAUACCUUAUGAAUGUUAUUGCAAAGCAGCGGGCUAAAUCAACACCACAGGCCCCGUGAUCAAUAUAUGUGAUGAGGACAUUACAUCCUGGUGUUGUUGCCCCAAGUCUUGACGUGAAUCUGACCACAAGGACAAUUCGGACAACCUGAAAUGGUGACGCAUUCUACAAAAUAAACAUCAAUGUCAUGAAAGACAAAGACUCAAGAUUUUCUGCUUAAUGGAGACUAAAGAGAUGCGACAACAGAAUGCCAGGCAUGAUCUUGGAUAUUCUUUUGGCUCAAACAGUCUUAGGACAAUUGAAAAAACGUGAAUGAGGUCUGUAGCUAAUAGAAUUGUGUCAAUGCCAAAAAAAAAAAAAAAAAAAAAAAAAAAAAA